UAGUAGCCUGCUUCCUUUUCAGCAGUAUAGGCCUUUAAUCCAGCUAAUGCGAAAGGAGUGAACUGAAUAGUGCCCAGCACCUUGCACGUGGGCUGUUCGCUGAUAGAGCAUUCGAUGCUAAGAUGUGAGAGAAACCAUCAGAAGGCCUCCUGAGGACCUUAUAACAACAGUGUUUCACCUCAAGAGGCAUUGGGUCAUGCCUAAGGAGCAGUGGACAAAUAUGAGGAGGACAAAUUCAACCUUGAAUUCUAUCAGAAAGAGCUUACUUGAAAAACGAAAGAGAGAGAAGGGGUCACUCACUCCAGUUCCAUCAUUCCCUUUGAAUGUCUGUCCUUGAAGGAAGUUACUGUCACCUAAGUUGGAAAGAGGAGGAAGUGCUCAUCUACAGUGGCUUUAAUGAGGGUGGAACCCAGCUGCUUCCAGAUUUUACUUUUUACGCUGACAGUGUUCUGCUUCAAACAUGUCACAUCCUGCUAGUUUGCUUUGCACCAUUUAAAAUGUAUUUAUUCAUUUAAAGUCUGACAUUGAUCUUGGCUUGAAAUAUAUGCCCUUUCUAAAUCUUGAAGAAAGACAUUUGUUACUGUGAAGAGGUCUAUGUUCUGAUUAUUAUUAUUAUUAUUAUUAUUAUUAUUAUUAUUAUUACUAUUAUUAUUAUUUUAACUAAUCUCUGAAAAUCCAUCUAAAACAGAGUUGGCUUAGGUGCCCUUCUGUAUCAAUCACCCUUCCUGUUGCCAAAGUGUGGAAAGUAGAGUAAGGCUGGCUGGGUCCAUGGACCUCAAAUGCUCAUGCUGGCUUUAUUCCAUACUACAUACAAAUACUUAACAUGUCACCAUAUGUUCAAGGAAAAAAAAAAUCUUUACUAACAAUACUGAUGUUACUCUUAAGUCCUAAAAUCUGAAAAUCUAAAGUGUAGAAUGUAAUGACUUCAUGUACCUAUGCAAGGACUCCCUGUAAGGUAUUUGCUCUGCAUUAAUUCUAAUCUGCUAACAGACUCAAAAGUAGAAUAAAAACUAAUCCAAAAUCCUAUAGUCAUACAAUUCUUCCAAAGUGACAACCAGGUAGUGUUUGUUUGUUUAUUUUUUAAGCAGAAGUAUAUUGAAAGUUAAGUGAACAUACCAGCACUCAGGAAGGCAGAGGCAGACAUAUGUCUGUGAGUUCGAGGCCAGCCUGAUCUAUGAAGCCAGUCCACGACAGUCAAAGCUACACAGAGAAACCUUGUCUUAAAAAAACAAAACAACAACAACAAAAGGUUAAGUGAACAUAGAAUUCACACCCGGACCCUUGAUGUCCUGAUGAAUGAAGAGUGGAGCAGUUUGCACUGUGCCUGAGAUGCUGCUUCGAGCCCAGCCUCCGUGGUGAGCACGGCAAGAUGGGCUCAUGCAGCCCUACCCCAAUCAUACAGCUCUUUCCGUUAGGAAGCAAGAAUCCAGGGGGAAGUGAUCCAAAACCAGGCCAUACAGUCUAUGUUAGAAACACAGCGCCCUUCCACCCUCCAUGCGCCCCAUGAAGAGACGAAGCUUCUCAUCGGCCCCUUGUGUGCAGGGGUCCUAGGUCCAGACCAUGCUUAUUCCAUACUUGAUGUCUCAGGCUCUGAAAGUCCCCAUGAGUCUGGGUCAGUUGUCUUUGUUGGUGUUCUUGUGAGGUUCCUGUCCCCUCCAGGUCCUUCCAUCUUUCCCCCAACACUUCCACGGGACCCCCAGAGCUCCGCCCCAUGCUUGGCUGCAAAUCCCAGCGUCUGUACCCACUGCUGCCAGGAGCCUCUCAGAUGAUGGUCAAGUUAGGCUCCUGGCUGACUCAAAUUCUGCCACUAGGCGGCACUGCGCUACAACUUUGCAACUCGAGGGCGCACUGCCCUGGGGAAGAUUUACCCAUUUUGUACCCUCACCAACUCCCUCUCCUUCAUUUUUCAGGAUGACAACACCUUGCAGGGUUAUGGCCAUCAGGAGAAUUUACUGCUAAGCUAUAUACUGAUGUAAUGAAAUCUAAUAUCUGCUGUGCCGUGAAUUAUGAGAUGUUAUUUAGUUUGGGGAUUUUAUUACUUCAAUCACUUAUGACCAUAUUUCCUUUUAUAUGAUUGCUCACUCUUUAAACAUACCAGAUGACUAUACAUGGAACACCUAAUAAAGUCCAUACAUGUUAAAACAUUGUUAAAAUAUAAAUGUUUUCAUUUAUUUGCCAUAAUUUGUUU